UGUGGUAUGUCAUUGUCCAUGUCUGUUCCACAUCUUACUCACCAGUCAUAGUUUAUUUCCAGUUUUAGGUUUAUUCAAGCGUUUCUUUGUUACUUUGGUUAUCUGUUGUGGGACUUCGUUUAGUUUUCUUUAUCCAUGUUCCAUGUUAAAUAUAAUAUAUUUUUUAGACUCCUGCACUCCUGCCUUGCCUCCCUGCUUCCCUGCAUUUGGGUCCUACAUGUUUUUGCCUUGCCUUCCUCGCCUUUGAAAACCCCAACCGUGACACAGAUGACAGUAAAAAUAAGGCGAUGUGGUGAGCUGGGUGGAGUGAGCAAGGAGGUGCCCACCUGGGAGCAAUGGGCAAUCAGCUCUCAAUCUUAAGCACUUCAGCUUUGGGGUCCUACCAGUUACAAACCCUAACAGGUUUGUACAGGAGUGGAGAGACGAGUUGGAGCCGGGACCAGCCGUUAUUAUCAACGGUGUACUUAAGCCGGUCCCUAACGCCACCUCGUCACCAGAUCGUCUCGUAUAGUCAUACUGUCAGUCGCAUCUCACUCAUGAAGUCGUUUGUACUUAACAGAAAGAUCCUGGUGAGGCUUUUCCCUUGCCACCCAGAACCUCCACACUUACUUCUCUGCCUGCCCGUGGAUUCCCUUGACUGGCUGAGUCUCAGCAGCCAAGGUGCUCUUGUGUCCUCUACUUUAAUUAAAUCACUGUCGGGUUUGAUAAUUUAUUUCUAAGCACUGACUCUGUACAAUUGACAGUUGUCAUUAAAGGUUAUCUUUCACA